UUCGCCCUUAGAGUUUGAUCCUGGCUCAGGACGAACGCUGGCGGCACGCUUAACACAUGCAAGUCGAACGAGAGAAGAGAAGCUUGCUUUUCUGAUCUAGUGGCGGACGGGUGAGUAACACGUGAGCAAUCUGCCUUUCAGAGGGGGAUACCGAUUGGAAACGAUCGUUAAUACCGCAUAAUAUAAUUGAACCGCAUGAUUUGAUUAUCAAAGAUUUAUCGCUGAAAGAUGAGCUCGCGUCUGAUUAGCUAGUUGGUAAGGUAACGGCUUACCAAGGCGACGAUCAGUAGCCGGACUGAGAGGUUGAUCGGCCACAUUGGGACUGAGACACGGCCCAGACUCCUACGGGAGGCAGCAGUGGGGAAUAUUGCACAAUGGAGGAAACUCUGAUGCAGCGAUGCCGCGUGAGGGAAGAAGGUUUUAGGAUUGUAAACCUCUGUCUUCAGGGACGAAAAAAGACGGUACCUGAGGAGGAAGCUCCGGCUAACUACGUGCCAGCAGCCGCGGUAAUACGUAGGGAGCGAGCGUUGUCCGGAAUUACUGGGUGUAAAGGGAGCGUAGGCGGGAUCGCAAGUCAGAUGUGAAAACUAUGGGCUUAACCCAUAAACUGCAUUUGAAACUGUGGUUCUUGAGUGAAGUAGAGGUAAGCGGAAUUCCUAGUGUAGCGGUGAAAUGCGUAGAUAUUAGGAGGAACAUCAGUGGCGAAGGCGGCUUACUGGGCUUUAACUGACGCUGAGGCUCGAAAGCGUGGGGAGCAAACAGGAUUAGAUACCCUGGUAGUCCACGCCGUAAACGAUGAUUACUAGGUGUGGGGGGACUGACCCCUUCCGUGCCGCAGCAAACGCAAUAAGUAAUCCACCUGGGGAGUACGACCGCAAGGUUGAAACUCAAAGGAAUUGACGGGGGCCCGCACAAGCAGUGGAGUAUGUGGAUUAAUUCGAAGCAACGCGAAGAACCUUACCAGGUCUUGACAUCGUAUGCAUAGCUCAGAGAUGAGUGAAAUCUCUUCGGAGACAUAUAGACAGGUGGUGCAUGGUUGUCGUCAGCUCGUGUCGUGAGAUGUUGGGUUAAGUCCCGCAACGAGCGCAACCCUUACUGUUAGUUGCUACGCAAGAGCACUCUAGCAGGACUGCCGUUGACAAAACGGAGGAAGGUGGGGAUGACGUCAAAUCAUCAUGCCCCUUAUGACCUGGGCCUCACACGUACUACAAUGGCUGUUAACAGAGGGAUGCAAAGCCGCGAGGUGGAGCGAACCCCUAAAAGCAGUCUUAGUUCGGAUUGUAGGCUGCAACCCGCCUACAUGAAGUCGGAAUUGCUAGUAAUCGCAGAUCAGCAUGCUGCGGUGAAUACGUUCCCGGGCCUUGUACACACCGCCCGUCA
rnacentral:rRNA from 1 species